CACGUAGGGCGCGAGCGUUGUCCGGAAUUAUUGGGCGUAAAGAGCUCGUAGGCGGUCUGUUGCGUCCGCUGUGAAAACUCGGGGCUUAACCCCGAGCCUGCAGUGGAUACGGGCAGACUAGAGGUAGGUAGGGGAGAAUGGAAUUCCCGGUGUAGCGGUGAAAUGCGCAGAUAUCGGGAGGAACACCGGUGGCGAAGGCGGGUCUCUGGGCAGUAACUGACGCUGAGGAGCGAAAGCGUGGGGAGCGAACAGG
rnacentral:rRNA from 1 species